rnacentral:rRNA from 1 species
UUGAACGCUGGCGGCAGGCCUAACACAUGCAAGUCGAGCGGAUGAAGGGAGCUUGCUCCUGGAUUCAGCGGCGGACGGGUGAGUAAUGCCUAGGAAUCUGCCUGGUAGUGGGGGAUAACGUCCGGAAACGGGCGCUAAUACCGCAUACGUCCUGAGGGAGAAAGUGGGGGAUCUUCGGACCUCACGCUACCAGAUGAGCCUAGGUCGGAUUAGCUAGUUGGUGGGGUAAAGGCCUACCAAGGCGACGAUCCGUAACUG